CCCAGCGAUGAAUCGCUGGGCUAUUGUCAUGCAAGCCCCUCCGGGGCU
rnacentral:sRNA from 1 species